rnacentral:rRNA from 1 species
GACGAACGCUGGCGGCGUGCUUAACACAUGCAAGUCGAACGGAAAGGCCCUGCUUUUGCUGGUCGCUCGAGUGGCGAACGGGUGAGUAACACGCGAGUAACCUGCCCCUGACUUUGGGAUAACUUCAGGAAACUGGGGCUAAUACCGGAUAGGAGCUCUUGCUGCAUGGUGGGGGUUGGAAAGUUUCGGCGGUUGGGGAUAGACUCGCGGCUUAUCGGCUUGUUGGUGGGGUAGUGGCUUACCAAGGCUUUGACGGGUAGCCGGCCUGAGAGGGUGGCCGGCCACAAGGGGACUACGGUACGGACCAGACGCGAACGUGACGCAGUAGGCGGGAAUAUGACAGAGUGGGGGGAAGCCUGAGACGGCGGCGCCGCGUGCGGGAUGCUGUCUUUCGAGGUAUGAACCGCUUUGGCCUGUACCAUAGCGUGAGUGACGGUAAUUGAUAAGAAAGCACCGGCUAACUACGUG